UGGGGAAUAUUGCACAAUGGGCGCAAGCCUGAUGCAGCGACGCCGCGUGAGGGAUGGAGGCCUUCGGGUUGUAAACCUCUUUCGCCAGUGAAGCAGGCCAUCUUCUUUGUGGGGUGGUUGACGGUAGCUGGAUAAGAAGCGCCGGCUAACUACGUGCCAGCAGCCGCGGUAAUACGUAGGGCGCGAGCGUUGUCCGGAAUUAUUGGGCGUAAAGAGCUCGUAGGCGGCGGGUCGCGUCUGUCGUGAAAUCCCCUGGCUUAACUGGGGGCUUGAGGUGGGUACGGGCCGGCGUGAGUGCGGUAGGGGAGACUGGAAUUCCUGGUGUAGCGGUGGGAUGCGCAGAUAUCCGGAGGAACACCGGUGGCGAAGGCGGGUCUCUGGGCCGUUACUGACGCUGAGGAGCGAAAGCGUGGGGAGCGAACAGG
rnacentral:rRNA from 1 species